rnacentral:tRNA from 1 species
AGGGUUGUGGCUCAGUGGCAGAGUGCUUACCUAACAUGUGUGAGGCACUGGGUUCUAUUCUCAGCACCACUU